CCCCGCGCCUGCCUGGUCUCCCUGCGGUCUCCAUGUGCACACAACAGCAGAGCUGAACUUCCAGGCUCCCAGGUUCACUCUUGGUGGACUGUGGUCAGUGAACUGAGACACACUGAGUUGGGAGAAGCAGUCAGAGGAGCCUAGAGGUGGGAAUCCUGUCUAAGAGGAAAGUGCUGCCUGUGGAGCAGGCAGGUAGCCAGCCAUUGCCUAGAACAUCUGCAAAACGGAGCUGCAGCAAGCCCAGGCACUUUUUCCCAAAGCCUCAACGUACACACUGAAGUCACUGCAGUUUCAAGCCCAGAUCCAGAUUUCCAAACCCACCAAGGAAGGAGGAGGAAGAGACCUCCUGAGACCACCAAGGCCUUCAUCAUGCUCGACUCAAAGACAUACUACUCAGGGGAAACAGGAAGUGGCCUCAUUAAUUUCAUUUUAAAUUUCUUCCUUCCAAUAGAGUAUCUGGCUGGCAAGGUAAUUAAAUACAUAGACUACAUGAGCUUCCACAAUUCAUACAAAGAAUAUUCAUGUAGCAGUAAUUGUAAUAGUAAAGAGUUGAAAGCAACCUAAAUUUCCA
rnacentral:lncRNA from 1 species